UAACUUUCUAGUGGAUAUAAAGGGAUCCUCAUUGGCAAAUUUAUCUGUACUCGCUUUCGAAGGGGGAACAAGGAGAAAUGUACCAAAGUUUGAGAUAGGUACUCUUCUUUAUGUCCGUGUGGUUAAAGCAAACAGCAUAAUGAAUCCUGAGCUUGCAUGCACGGAUGCUAGCGAAAAAGCUGCAGAGUUCGGUCCCCUGAAAGGCGG
rnacentral:misc_RNA from 1 species